GGGGAAUAUUGCACAAUGGGGGAAACCCCGAUGCAGCAACGCCGCGUGUAUGAAGAAGGCCUUCGGGUUGUAAAGUACUUUCAGCGGGGAGGAAGGGAGUAAAGUUAAUACCUUUGCUCAUUGACGUUACCCGCAGAAGAAGCACCGGCUAACUCC
rnacentral:rRNA from 1 species